GGGCGGUUAGCUCAUUGGCACGAGCCGUCGGCUCAUAACCGUCAGGCGAGGGUUCGAUUCCCUCACCGCCUACCA
rnacentral:tRNA from 3 species